rnacentral:rRNA from 1 species
AUUGAACGCUGGCGGCAUGCCUUGCACAUGCAAGUCGAACGGCAGCACGGGAGCAAUCCUGGUGGCGAGUGGCGAACGGGUGAGUAAAGUAUCGGAACGUGCCCAGUCGUGGGGGAUAACGUAGCGAAAGUUACGCUAAUACCGCAUACGAUCUAUGGAUGAAAGCGGGGGAUCGCAAGACCUCGCGCGAUUGGAGCGGCCGAUAUCAGAUUAGGUAGUUGGUGGGGUAAAGGCUCACCAAGCCGACGAUCUGUAGCUGGUCUGAGAGGACGACCAGCCACACUGGGACUGGGGCACGGCCCAGACUCCUACGGGAGGCAGCAGUGGGGAAUUUUGGACAAUGGGCGAAAGCCUGAUCCAGCCAUGCCGCGUGCAGGAUGAAGGCCUUCGGGUUGUAAACUGCUUUUGUACGGAACGAAAAGGUUUGGGCUAAUAAGCUGAGCUCAUGACGGUACCGUAAGAAUAAGCACCGGCUAACUACGUGCCAGCCGCCGCUGUAA